CGGGGAGCAGCAGGCGCGAAACCUCUGCAAUAGGCGAAAGCCUGACAGGGUUAUUCUGAGUGACUUUCGCUAAGAAAGUCUUUUGACAUCUCUAAAAAUGGUGUAGAAUAAGGGGUGGGCAAGUCUGGUGUCAGCCGCCGCGGUAAUACCAGCACCCCGAGUGGUCGGGACGAUUAUUGGGCCUAAAGCAUCCGUAGCCGGUUUUACAAGUCCUCCGUUAAAUCCAACUGCUUAACAGAUGGGCCGCGGAGGAUACUAUAAGACUAGGAGGCAGGAGAGGCAAGCGGUACUCAGUGGGUAGGGGUAAAAUCCGUUGAUCCAUUGAAGACCACCAGUGGCGAAGGCGGCUUGCCAGAAUGCGCUCGACGGUGAGGGAUGAAAGCUGGGGGAGCAAACCGGAUUAGAUACCCGGGUAGUCCCAGCUGUAAACGAUGCAGACUCGGUGGUGGACUAGCUUAAUGCUAGUCCAGUGCCGCAGGGAAGCCGUUAAGUCUGCCGCCUGGGUAGUACGGUCGCAAGACUGAAACUUAAAGGAAUUGGCGGGGGAGCA
rnacentral:rRNA from 1 species